rnacentral:rRNA from 1 species
GUCUUUUAGAUUUAUAUUAAAAGUCUAACCUGCCCAUUGAAAUAUAAUAUUAAAAGGCUGCGGUAUUUUGACCGUACAAAGGUAGCAUAAUUAUUAGUUUUUUAAUUGAAAACUUGUAUGAAUGGUUGAAUGAGAUAUUAUCUGUUUUUAUAAAAAUAUAGAAUUUUACUUUUUAAUUAAAAGGUUAAAAUAUAAUUAAAAGACGAGAAGACCCUAUAGAUUUUUAUAUUUUAUAUUAGUUGUUAUUUAAAAAUAUAGUUUAUUUAUUUAAAUAUAAUAUAAAAAUAUUUUGUUGGGGUGAUAAUAAAAUUUAAUAAACUUUUAUUUAAAAUUUAACAUUAAUAUAUGAAUGUUUGAUCCAUACAUUAUGAUUAAAAAAUUAAAUUACCUUAGGGAUAACAGCGUAAUUUUUUUUUAAGUUCUUAUUAAUAAAAAAGUUUGCGACCUCGAUGUUGGAUUAAGAUUAAUUUUAGGUGCAGCAGUUUAAAAUUUAAGUCUGUUCGACUUUUAAAUUCUU